rnacentral:rRNA from 1 species
CCUACGGGAGGCAGCAGUGAGGAAUAUUGGUCAAUGGACGAGAGUCUGAACCAGCGAAGUAGCGUGAAGGAUGACUGCCCUCUGGUUGGUAAACUUCUUUUAUAUGGAAAUUAAUUGUUGCACGUGUGGGAUUUUGUAUGUACCAUAUGAAUACGGAUCGGCUAACUCCGUGCCAGCAGCCGCGGUAAUACGGAGGAUCCGGGCGUUAUCCGGAUUUAUUGGGUUUAAAGGGAGCGUAGGUGGAUUGUUAAGUCAGUUGUGAAAGUUUGCGGCUCAACCGUAAAAUUGCAGUUGAAACUGGUAGUCUUGAGUACAGUAGAGGUGGGCGGAAUUCGUGGUGUAGCGGUGAAAUGCUUAGAUAUUACGAAGAACUCCGAUUGCGAAGGCAGCUUACUGGACUGCAACUGACACUGAGGCUCGAAAGUGUGGGUAUCAAACAGGAUUAGAUACCCGGGUAGUC